UAUUGCUUUCGAUAUACCACAAUUGUUCGAAAUGACUAAGUUUUUCUUUUCACAAAUACUUGCCUUUAUCCUUAUCAUUUCAGUUAUUUUAAGAACAGGCGCAACAGAUCCACAAAGAUGUCAAAAAGUGUUACAGCCCACAGACUGCAUCCUCCAAAAAUGUCAAUCGGAUUGCUUCAACAUGUUUAAAAACUCACAAGCGAGUGGAAAUUGCAUUCACAACAACAAUAAUAAUACUUUUGAAUGUGUUUGCAUCUUUAAUUGUAAUGCAAUACCAAAUUUGGUGUAAACUUAACUACUGGUAAUAUGUACCCAGUGGAAGAGGGUGAGAGAAAUAAGUUUUCUAGAAGUUAAUCUAGAAAUAUGUAACAAUAAAGUUUUAUUACCCAUUUGAGUAAAAAGUUGGCAUUUUCUCCUUA